AAUAGGAGAAUGAAAAAUCAUAUUUUCAUCCUAAUUUUUAGCUUUUUCCUCCAUAAAAAAAUAAAUUCCAACUAAAAAUGCUAAAAAUCAGGAAGAAAAAUCUAAUUUAUCUUUCUCCUAUU
rnacentral:pre_miRNA from 1 species